GAUAAACGUUUGCGGCGUGCCUGAUGCACGCAAGUCGAACGAUUUGAUUUUUCGCAAGAUUUAUCAGAUAGUGGCGAACGGCUGAGUAACGCGUAAGUAACCUGCCCUUAAGUGGGGGAUAACUUGUCGAAAGACAGGCUAAUACCGCAUGUGCUAGUAAUCGAUAGAUUAUUAGUAAAGCUUUUGCGCUUGAGGAGGGGCUUGCGUCCGAUUAGCUUGUUGGUAGGGUAAUGGCCUACCAAGGCGAUGAUCAGUAGCUGGUCUGAGAGGACAACCAGCCAGACGGGGACUGAGAUACGGCCCUGACUCCUACGGGAGGCAGCAGCAAGGAAUUUUGCGCAAUGGGCGAAAGCCUGACGCAGCGACGCCGCGUGGGGGAUGACGGCCUUCGGGUUGUAAACCCCUUUUCUCGGGGAAGAAAUAUGACGGUACUCGAGGAAUAAGUCUUAGCUAACUACGUGCCAGCAGCCGCAGUAA
rnacentral:rRNA from 1 species